rnacentral:tRNA from 1 species
GUCCCUGGAUGGGAUUCCUAAUCCCGGAGUCGCAGGUUCGAAUCCUGCCGGGGGCACCA